GCUUUCUUUACAUAGGAAUUUUUUAUUAGGUAAACAAAAAAAGAGAGAAAUUGUUAAGUCUCUAUUGUAAACAAGGAAGACAACGACCUUCGGCAUUGUUAAUAGAGGUUGUUUUCAUUCUGUCCUUGUCUAUCUUUUUGACAACGGCAAUAAAAUUACAGAAUUGAAAUUGAGCCCUUUCCCCUUCUUCUUCUACUCUUUGUGGGUGAUUCCUGAUGCCUUUUAUACCUGAGUGACUUUGCCGAAGCUUCACUCUGUUUAUCGCCGUCUUUUAUAGAGCAAUCAUGAAAGUGAGUGGCCUAUAGGAAAGUGCUACAAAUCAUUUAUUUUUCACCUAUUGUAAAAGAAUAUUUACUCAUGGAAUUCUAAAAAAUAAUUGUUGAAUUUAAAAUAAUUUAUCUUCUGUCUGGAAGAAAUGGUACUACGAACAUGAAAAGAAAAUUUGUAUUGUCAAUUAUCUAGAUAUAGGAAUUUACAAACAAAAAAAUGUAGUUACUUUAGAUAGGAAAUUUAAAAAAUUAGUUGCUAAUUUUAAGUAGUACAAAAUAAUUUAAGUUGCAAGAGCAUUCAAGAUUCAGCAUCAACUUUAUGGAAAAAUUCAUUCACAGAGGACGAGGGACACAUCGCACUCUAGUCUUGAGAGGGAACAUAAAGGAAAGAGUAUUCAACAGGACACUAAAGUUGUACUUUGAAUCUUCGUUCUUAACAUUAUAAAGGAAGAGGAAACAAAAGAUGAAAAGUGUUUCGGCGUCAACUUUAGCAACAUUCUUCGUUCUGAAAAGGAGGGGAAUCACCUGAAAUGCAGAGGGAUGGUUCAAGUCUGAUGCUACCUUUGGAUCGACAACAGUUAUUUUGCGUUAAUUUAAGAAGAAAGAAGAAUUACAAAAAAAAUGUACUUUUUUUAAGAAGUAAAAUAAAAGUUUUUUCUAAAA